GACGUAGGGCGCGAGCGUUGUCCGGAUUUAUUGGGCGUAAAGAGCUCGUAGGCGGUCUGUCGCGUCGGAUGUGAAAACUCGGGGCUCAACCCCGAGCCUGCAUUCGAUACGGGCAGACUAGAGUUCGGUAGGGGAGACUGGAAUUCCUGGUGUAGCGGUGAAAUGCGCAGAUAUCAGGAGGAACACCGGUGGCGAAGGCGGGUCUCUGGGCCGAUACUGACGCUGAGGAGCGAAAGCGUGGGGAGCGAACAGG
rnacentral:rRNA from 1 species